UAUUUUUCCUUUAUUACAAUUUUCAUAAAAUUAAAUUCUCAAAUUUUCUGUCAUACUGUGUAAUUUGAGAAAUGUGUCACUCUUCCUGUGAUUCUCUAAGGUGCUGCUUUACCCAGCUGAGACACUCAUUCUUCUUGGACAUAUCAUCCCCUUUCCUCACAAACUAUCCCACAAACCAUUCUCACAUAAAGUGUUUUAAGAAAAGAAAUAACCCUGGUAUUUUCACACAUUGGAAAUACUGCCUCCUACCCCACACUGUUCACAUUCACAGUUUGGAGAGAUGACUGUCAGUCUCACUGGGCCACUGUGGGUGGGGCUUCCUGUUCAGAUGAAUGACAGCUCAAGUGUGAUUGGUGCUCAGUGAGUCUGAUGGAACUUAAUGACAGUAAGAACAGGUUUGUCUGCACCCAGACACGACACCCUCCAGAGCGGGGAGAAGCCACCCCAGCAACCAGGAAGGGGCCAUGGAGAGGAGACUGGGAGCUCUGCUGGGGCUUCUGUGGCUCCAGGUUUGCUGGGUGAGAGGGCUGGAGGUGCAGCAGAGCCCUUCAGUCCUGAGUCUCCAGGAGGGAUCCAGCCCUACUCUGAGGUGCAAUUUUUCUGCUACUGUGACCAGUAUGCAGUGGUUCCUUCAGAAACCUGGGGGCGGCCUCAUCAGUCUGUUUUACAUGGCUUCAGGAUCAAAGCAGAACGGAAGGUUAAAUUCAACAAUGAAUUCUAAGGAACUCUAUAGUGCCCUACACAUCACAGCCACCCAGCUGGAAGACUCAGGCACCUACCUCUGUGCAGCGCAGGACGCACAGUGCUCCCAGGCAGUCUGUAGCCUGAACCCAAAGUGCAGCUGGGCCUGCAGCCCAACCCCUUCCAUGGGGUGGGGGAGGGAGGGACAUUGCCCCCACAGUACCAUUUGCACAGCUUUGGGUGCUUUGAUUUACAUCGUAGCACUUUUAUCUCUUCUAAAACGUGACAUUUUCAGAACUGCUAUUUUCACUUGUUUUUAUGUACUGUUUUCUCCCAGAAACUCCUGUGUAGGAAAAAGCUUUGAAAUAGAGCCAUUGGAGCAACUGAUAAAGAUGUCAAGUCCCCAAUGUAGUAUUAAAAGGGAUCCCUUGUUACAGCGCAUAUAAGUUACUGUGAUAAUAAAGGCUUGAAAUGAAUACAUGCAGGGCAACAGAUAGAAAAGGGAUGACUCAGUGUUACAGUUAAUUGUAGAUGGUUCAACUUUCCAGGAAAAGGGAUGAGAGGAUAUGUAUUUUUUUAAAAGUUUGUAUGCAUAUUUUUCAGUCCUGGAACCCAUGGCAAAUAUUAUUAAAAAUACUUAAUGUCACUGAGUGUCAGGCAUUCUCUUUAGCUUAUUAAUAUAUUAUCUAGGUACUGACAAUACUUUGUAAAUAGAUACUUUCUCGUCACUUUGCAUAUGAAUAAACUGAGAAUUAUAGAGCAUAAAUUCUUGCCCGAGCUCUCAUGAUUGUUGAACUAGCAAAGCUGGGCUGGAAUUCCCUCUCAGGAAGUCUGACAUCACAGUAUGUACUCUGAGCUACCUACUAUAGAAGACUGUUUAGAAUCACAAAAUGGAAAUGAUUUCUAUUAAUAAAGUGGUACAAUGUUGUUACAUACAUUACUGACUAAAAUAUACAUUUUGUUCAUUUCUAAAUAUCA